rnacentral:rRNA from 1 species
AAUAUGGGGGGACCAUCCUCCAAGGCUAAAUACUCCUGACUGACCGAUAGUGAACCAGUACCGUGAGGGAAAGGCGAAAAGAACCCCGGCGAGGGGAGUGAAAAAGAACCUGAAACCGUGUACGUACAAGCAGUGGGAGCACCCUUUGGGGUGUGACUGCGUACCUUUUGUAUAAUGGGUCAGCGACUUAUAUUCUGUAGCAAGGUUAACCGUAUAGGGGAGCCGGAGGGAAACCGAGUCUUAAUUGGGCGUUAAGUUGCAGGGUAUAGACCCGAAACCCGGUGAUCUAGCCAUGGGCAGGUUGAAGGUUGGGUAACACUAACUGGAGGACCGAACCGACUAAUGUUGAAAAAUUAGCGGAUGACCUGUGGCUGGGGGUGAAAGGCCAAUCAAACCGGGAGAUAGCUGGUUCUCCCCGAAAGCUAUUUAGGUAGCGCCUCGUGAAUUCAUCUCCGGGGGUAGAGCACUGUUUCGGCUAGGGGGCCAUCCCGGCUUACCAACCCGAUGCAAACUGCGAAUACCGGAGAAUGUUAUCACGGGAGACACACGGCGGGUGCUAACGUCCGUCGUGAAGAGGGAAACAACCCAGACCGCCAGCUAAGGUCCCAAAGUCAUGGUUAAGUGGGAAACGAUGUGGGAAGGCCCAGACAGCCAGGAUGUUGGCUUAGAAGCAGCCAUCAUUUAAAGAAAGCGUAAUAGCUCACUGGUCGAGUCGGCCUGCGCGGAAGAUGUAACGGGGCUAAACCAU